rnacentral:rRNA from 1 species
CCGCGGUAAUACGCAGGGUGCGAGCGUCGUCCGGAAUCACUGGGCGUAAAGAGCUCGUAGGUGGUCUGUUGCGUCGUCUGUGAAAUCCCGGGGCUUAACUUCGGGGUGGCAGGCGAUACGGGCAUAACUAGAGUGCUGUAGGGGAGACUGGAAUUCCUGGUGUAGCGGUGGAAUGCGCAGAUAUCAGGAGGAACACCGAUGGCGAAGGCAGGUCUCUGGGCAGUAACUGACGCUGAGGAGCGAAAGCAUGGGGAGCGAACAGGAUUAGAUACCCUGGUAGUCCAUGCUGUAAACGGUGGGCGUUAGGUGUGGGGACCGGUUUGGUUUCUGUGCCGUAGCUAACGCAUUAAGCGCCCCGCCUGGGGAGUACGGCCGCAAGGCUAAAACUCAAAGGAAUUGACGGGGGCCCGCACAAGAAGGGCGAAUUC